rnacentral:tRNA from 2 species
GCGGGUGUAGUUCAAUGGUAGAACUUCAGCUUCCCAAGCUGGCGGUGCGGGUUCGAUUCCCGUCACCCGCUCCA